rnacentral:lncRNA from 10 species
AGACCAUCACGGACGCCGAGCUUCAGGUGACUCUCACAGUGGAAGGUCCAGGAACUCACUUUUUAUGGUUUCUCUGGGGUCCCCUUUGGCUAAGAGAAGGUCUGUUCAGCAGACAGACCUAGGCACUGCCCUCUUCCCCAAGCCAGCAGGAAAUAAGCACACAGCAUUUCUACUUUCCAUAUCUAAUCGUGAUGUUUAGGCUGACAGCAAAAGUGCCAGGUACUGUCAGUUGUGAUCACAGUCACCAAACUGGAGAACAUGGACUGAGACCCCGACAUUGACCAAACCUGAGACUGAGACAGCAGCUGCUUCACAUCUCUACCACACAGAUGCAGAUGCAGUUGCAAAGCAGUAGUACUCGGGAGUGAAAGGCAGUCAUGCUCCUCUGGUUCAUCUCGCAUCCUGUGUUGUCCACAUUGCACCCCUGUCCCUUUCCAUUUAUCACGCCAGUCUUGACAAAGAGGCAUGCUGUUUUUUUCCCUGCUUUAACCUGUUUCAGAAAUGCUGACCUUGCGAAGGUAAGUAAUUCUCACAUCUUUUUCUUAACAUUUAAUUUUUUUUUUAUUCCAGCUGACAGAGCGAAGUGUUAGGUACAAACUUAACAGAUACUCAAAUUAGUUGUUCCUAAAAUAAUUUCUUGCUAAUUGGGCAAUUAUUUUAUGUUAUAUUGAUGGGGGGAAAGGAUACAUGGCACUUCAAUUAUAGGGUAAAAUAAUAAGUGGCUCCGAAAUACCAGAGCUGGUUUACCACAGUUUAAAUGAAAUCACUUCAUCUGAUGGCUGUGUGGGAAAUGCUGGAGUCCUGUCUCACCUCCGUGGGUCUACCUACUUACCCAGUAUUUCCUCAACUAUAAUGGGCAUAGGGAUCACUCUGAAGGGAAAAAAAAAGGCCCUCGUGGAUGUUGAAAGCAUCUUUUUCAUUAAAGUCAAUGCCAAAGUUCUCCAAGGCAAGCCAAAGCAGCAACUGAGGUAUAUGAUUAUGCAACAUCCUCAACAUGGAGACAGACAUUUUUAAAUUAACUCUGACUUCCUGGCCUAAUUCCCUCUCUUCUGGUAUCCAUACUGGUAAUUUGAAGCCUUGUAAUGUAACACUUUGUAGAGCUAGACUUUAAAGGGAGGGGACUCCUCUAGUUAGUGGUCUUUGCUUUAGCCAGAGAGUCAAAUAUGGCACAUGCUAGGAUUAGGAAUACUGAGCUUUCUCUGAUGUCUACAUUAUCAGCAAAAUUAAGGGUCAUGGUACAACCAUAGUUCCUGUCUUUUUAAACACCAUCUGAAAGAAGUUAGCCUUUACUAAUAAGUUGUAAAUCUGCCUAAAAUUGUCAUUUCCCAAGGGUACUCUGGCAAAUAAAUAUAUCUUAUCAAAAUAGUAAAUCUUUCACUGAGUACAGGAAUACCUUAUUAUAUUGCACUUCACUUUAUUGCACUUCACAAAUAUUAGGGACUUUUUCCAAAUUGAAGGUUUGUGGCAACCUUACAUCAAGUAAGUCUAUCAUUGCCAUUUUUACAACAGCACAUGCUCAAUUACUGUCUGUGUCAUAUUUUGGUAAUUUUCAAUAUUUCAUACAUUUUCAUUGUUUUUAUAUCUGUUAUAGUGACUAGUGAUCUUUGAUGUUGGUAUUGUAAUUGUUUUAAGGCCCCACAAACUGCACCUAUAUAACAUGGCAAAUUUAAUAAAUGAUAUAUAUCUUCUGACCAUUCCACCAACU